UGCGAACUCCUACGGGAGGCAGCAGUGGGAAAUUUUGGACAAUGGGGGCAACCCUGAUCCAGCAAUGCCGCGCGAGUGAAGAAGGCCUUCGGGUUGUAAAGCUCUUUUGUCAGGGAAGAAACGGUAGCAGCUAAUAUCUAUUACUAAUGACGGUACCUGAAGAAUAAGCACCGGCUAACUACGUGCCAGCAGCCGCGGUAAUACGUAGGGUGCAAGCGUUAAUCGGAAAUACUGGGCGUAAAGCGUGCGCGGGCGGUUGUGUAAGUCAGAUGUGAAAUCCCCGGGCUCAACCUGGGAAUUGCAUUUGAGACUGCACGGCUAGAGUGUGGCAGAGGGGGGUAGAAUUCCACGUGUAGCAGUGAAAUGCGUAGAUAUGUGGAGAAAUACCGAUAGCGAAGGCAGCCCCCUGGGAUAACACUGACGCUCAUGCACGAAAGCGUGGGGAGCAAACAGGAUUAGAAACCCUAGUAGUCCAGAUG
rnacentral:rRNA from 1 species